UACGGAGGGGGCUAGCGUUGUUCGGAAUUCCUGGGCGUAAAGCGCACGUAGGCGGCUUUGCAAGUUAGAGGUGAAAGCCCGGGGCUCAACCCCGGAAUUGCCUUUAAAACUGCAUCGCUAGAAUUGUGGAGAGGUAAGUGGAAUUCCGAGUGUAGAGGUGAAAUUCGUAGAUAUUCGGAAGAACACCAGUGGCGAAGGCGACUUACUGGACACAUAUUGACGCUGAGGUGCGAAAGCGUGGGGAGCAAACAGG
rnacentral:rRNA from 1 species